rnacentral:rRNA from 1 species
CGGACGACGCUGGCGGCGUGCUUAACACAUGCAAGUCGAACGGUAAGGCCCUUCGGGGUACACGAGUGGCGAACGGGUGAGUAACACGUGGGUGAUCUGCCCUGCACUUCGGGAUAAGCUUGGGAAACUGGGCCUAAUACCGGAUAGGACCACGGUCUGCAUGGAUUGUGGUGGAAAGCUUUUGCGGUGUGGGAUGGGCCCGCGGCCUAUCAGCUUGUUGGUGGGGUGAUGGCCUACCAAGGCGACGACGGGUAGCCGGCCUGAGAGGGUGUCCGGCCACACUGGGACUGAGAUACGGCCCAGACUCCUACGGGAGGCAGCAGUGGGGAAUAUUGCACAAUGGGCGCAAGCCUGAUGCAGCGACGCCGCGUGGGGGAUGACGGCCUUCGGGUUGUAAACCUCUUUCAGUAGGGAAGAAGCGAAAGUGACGGUACCUGCAGAAGAAGCACCGGCUAACUACGUG